GACGAACGCUGGCGGCGUGCUUAACACAUGCAAGUCGAACGGAAAGGCCCCUUUGGGGGUACUCGAGUGGCGAACGGGGGAGUAACACGUGAGUAACCUUCCCUUGACUUCGGGAUAACUUCAGGAAACUGGGGCUAAUACCGGAUAGGAAUCCUUGCUGCAUGGUGGGGGUUGGAAAGCUUCGGCGGUUUUGGGUGGACUCGCGGCUUAUCAGCUUGUUGGUGGGGUAGUGGCUUACCAAGGCUUUGACGGGUAGCCGGCCUGAGAGGGCGACCGGCCACAUUGGGACUGAGAUACGGCCCCGGCGCCUACGGGAGGGAGAAGUGGGGAAGAUUGAACAAGGGGCGGAAGCCUGAUGCAGAAACGCCGCGGGCGGGAUGACGGCCUUCGGGUGGUAAACCGCUUUCAGCAGGGGCGAAGCUUGUGGUGACGGUACCUGCAGAAGAAGCACCGGCUAACUACGUG
rnacentral:rRNA from 1 species